AGAGUUUGAUCCUGGCUCAGGAUGAACGCUAGCGACAGGCUUAACACAUGCAAGUCGAGGGGCAGCACAGGUAGCAAUACCGGGUGGCGACCGGCGCACGGGUGAGUAACGCGUAUGCAACUUGCCUAUCAGAGGGGGAUAACCCGGCGAAAGUCGGACUAAUACCGCAUGAAGCAGGGGCCCCGCAUGGGGAUAUUUGCUAAAGAUUCAUCGCUGAUAGAUAGGCAUGCGUUCCAUUAGGCAGUUGGCGGGGUAACGGCCCACCAAACCGACGAUGGAUAGGGGUUCUGAGAGGAAGGUCCCCCACAUUGGUACUGAGACACGGACCAAACUCCUACGGGAGGCAGCAGUGAGGAAUAUUGGUCAAUGGCCGAGAGGCUGAACCAGCCAAGUCGCGUGAGGGAUGAAGGUUCUAUGGAUCGUAAACCUCUUUUAUAAGGGAAUAAAGUGCGGGACGUGUCCCGUUUUGUAUGUACCUUAUGAAUAAGGAUCGGCUAACUCCGUGCCAGCAGCCGCGGUAAUACGGAGGAUCCGAGCGUUAUCCGGAUUUAUUGGGUUUAAAGGGUGCGUAGGCGGCCUUUUAAGUCAGCGGUGAAAGUCUGUGGCUCAACCAUAGAAUUGCCGUUGAAACUGGGGGGCUUGAGUAUGUUUGAGGCAGGCGGAAUGCGUGGUGUAGCGGUGAAAUGCAUAGAUAUCACGCAGAACCCCGAUUGCGAAGGCAGCCUGCCAAGCCAUUACUGACGCUGAUGCACGAAAGCGUGGGGAUCAAACAGGAUUAGAUACCCUGGUAGUCCACGCAGUAAACGAUGAUCACUAGCUGUUUGCGAUACACUGUAAGCGGCACAGCGAAAGCGUUAAGUGAUCCACCUGGGGAGUACGCCGGCAACGGUGAAACUCAAAGGAAUUGACGGGGGCCCGCACAAGCGGAGGAACAUGUGGUUUAAUUCGAUGAUACGCGAGGAACCUUACCCGGGUUUGAACGCAUUCGGACCGAGGUGGAAACACCUUUUCUAGCAAUAGCCGUUUGCGAGGUGCUGCAUGGUUGUCGUCAGCUCGUGCCGUGAGGUGUCGGCUUAAGUGCCAUAACGAGCGCAACCCUUGCCACUAGUUACUAACAGGUAAAGCUGAGGACUCUGGUGGGACUGCCAGCGUAAGCUGCGAGGAAGGCGGGGAUGACGUCAAAUCAGCACGGCCCUUACAUCCGGGGCGACACACGUGUUACAAUGGCGUGGACAAAGGGAAGCCACCUGGCGACAGGGAGCGAAUCCCCAAACCACGUCUCAGUUCGGAUCGGAGUCUGCAACCCGACUCCGUGAAGCUGGAUUCGCUAGUAAUCGCGCAUCAGCCAUGGCGCGGUGAAUACGUUCCCGGGCCUUGCACACACCGCCCGUCAAG
rnacentral:rRNA from 1 species